rnacentral:rRNA from 1 species
AGAGUUUGAUCCUGGCUCAGGAUGAACGCUGGCGGCGUGCCUAACACAUGCAAGCCGAGCGAGGGUUUGCUCAGUAUUGAGUAUUCUAAGACUAGAAUGUUCAAUUCUGAGCAAAACCAAGCGGCGGACGGGUGAGUAACGCGUGGGUAACCUGCCCUAUACACAUGGAUAACAUACUGAAAAGUUUACUAAUACAUGAUAAUAUAUAUUUGCGGCAUCGCAGAUAUAUCAAAGUGUUAGCGGUAUAGGAUGGACCUGCGUCUGAUUAGCUAGUUGGUGAGAUAACUGCCCACCAAGGCGACGAUCAGUAGCCGACCUGAGAGGGUGAUCGGCCACAUUGGAACUGAGACACGGUCCAAACUCCUACGGGAGGCAGCAGUGGGGAAUAUUGCACAAUGGGCGAAAGCCUGAUGCAGCAACGCCGCGUGAACGAUGAAGGUCUUCGGAUCGUAAAGUUCUGUUGCAGGGGAAGAUAAUGACGGUACCCUAUGAGGAAGCCCCGGCUAACUACGUGCCAGCAGCCGCGGUAAUACGUAGGGGGCUAGCGUUAUCCGGAUUUACUGGGCGUAAAGGGUGCGUAGGUGGUCCUUCAAGUCGGUGGUUAAAGGCUACGGCUCAACCGUAGUAAGCCGCCGAAACUGGAGGACUUGAGUGCAGGAGAGGAAAGUGGAAUUCCCAGUGUAGCGGUGAAAUGCGUAGAUAUUGGGAGGAACACCAGUAGCGAAGGCGGCUUUCUGGACUGCAACUGACACUGAGGCACGAAAGCGUGGGUAGCAAACAGGAUUAGAUACCCUGGUAGUCCACGCUGUAAACGAUGAGUACUAGGUGUCGGGGGUUACCCCCCUCGGUGCCGCAGCUAACGCAUUAAGUACUCCGCCUGGGGAGUACGCACGCAAGUGUGAAAC